AGUGAACGCUGGCGGUAGGCCUAACACAUGCAAGUCGAACGGAAGCACAGUAAGAGCUUGCUCUUACGGGUGGCGAGUGGCGGACGGGUGAGGAAUACAUCGGAAUCUACUUUUUCGUGGGGGAUAACGUAGGGAAACUUACGCUAAUACCGCAUACGACCUACGGGUGAAAGCAGGGGAUCUUCGGACCUUGCGCGAUUGAAUGAGCCGAUGUCGGAUUAGCUAGUUGGCGGGGUAAAGGCCCACCAAGGCGACGAUCCGUAGCUGGUCUGAGAGGAUGAUCAGCCACACUGGAACUGAGACACGGUCCAGACUCCUACGGGAGGCAGCAGUGGGGAAUAUUGGACAAAGGGCGCAAGCCUGAUCCAGCCAUACCGCGUGAGUGAAGAAGGCCUUCGGGUUGUAAAGCCCUUUUGUUGGGAAAGAAAAGCAGCAGGUUAAUACCCCGCUGUUCUGACGGUACCCAAAGAAUAAGCACCGGCUAACUUCGUG
rnacentral:rRNA from 1 species